rnacentral:rRNA from 1 species
CCUACGGGUGGCUGCAGUGGGGAAUAUUGGACAAUGGGCGAAAGCCUGAUCCAGCCAUGCCGCGUGUGUGAAGAAGGCCUUCGGGUUGUAAAGCACUUUCAGUGGGGAAGAAAGCCUUGGGGCUAAUACCCUCGAGGAAGGACAUCACCCACAGAAGAAGCACCGGCUAACUCCGUGCCAGCAGCCGCGGUAAUACGGAGGGUGCGAGCGUUAAUCGGAAUUACUGGGCGUAAAGCGCGCGUAGGCGGUCUGAUAAGCCGGUUGUGAAAGCCCCGGGCUCAACCUGGGAACGGCAUCCGGAACUGUCAGGCUAGAGUGCAGGAGAGGAAGGUAGAAUUCCCGGUGUAGCGGUGAAAUGCGUAGAGAUCGGGAGGAAUACCAGUGGCGAAGGCGGCCUUCUGGACUGACACUGACGCUGAGGUGCGAAAGCGUGGGUAGCAAACAGGAUUAGAUACCCGGUAGUC